UACGUAGGUGGCAAGCGUUGUCCGGAAUUAUUGGGCGUAAAGCGCGCGCAGGCGGUCUUUUAAGUCUGAUGUGAAAUCUUGCGGCUCAACCGUGAGCGGUCAUUGGAAACUGGAAGACUUGAGUGCAGAAGAGGAGAGUGGAAUUCCACGUGUAGCGGUGAAAUGCGUAGAGAUGUGGAGGAACACCAGUGGCGAAGGCGGCUCUCUGGUCUGUAACUGACGCUGAGGCGCGAAAGCGUGGGGAGCGAACAGG
rnacentral:rRNA from 1 species